rnacentral:tRNA from 1 species
UAAGUAUUGGUGUUUUUAUGCAUAUAGAACUUUGAAUUCUAGGGAGAUAGAAUUUCUAUCAUACUUAA